UAGCUCGUUGUCGGUGGUUCACUAACCCCAUCGCCAGAGAUUGUUGCACAGCCACCACGACCAGUCGACAAUAAGUCAAGUCAGUUUGUUUUCCCUUCAUUAUUGAAUCCAAGCAUGCUUCCCACCGGCCACACCUCUCUAGCUUCUAUCUUUUUCACAAAGAACCUUUAUAGCCAAGAACCUACCAAAUACGGCAACAAUGUGGAGGGAUGGGUGACCAAG
rnacentral:misc_RNA from 1 species